rnacentral:tRNA from 1 species
AAGGGAGACCUAAUUCGAGUAGAAGACGAAAAAAUAGUAGUCGAAACCAAGAAUCAAUCCCAAAAGGUCGGAACGAGGUAUGUGGCUUUCAAACUAGGUUCUGGGUUCACAAAAGACCUGAAUCAGGAACAAGGGCUAUUAGCUCAGGUGGUUAGAGCGCACCCCUGAUAAGGGUGAGGUCCCUGGUUCGAGUCCAGGAUGGCCCACCUGCACAGGUGGCAAAAACAAGAGAAACGAGGAAUCAGCACCUUAUCUUACUUACAUAGUAAGAGAGAAUGCUGGCUCUGAGUAAAGAGUCCAGAGGAACCUUGAAAACUGCAUAGAGCUAGGUGAAAAAGCCAAAAAAGAAGACCGCAA